rnacentral:rRNA from 1 species
GAUGAACGCUGGCGGCGUGCUUAACACAUGCAAGUCGAGCGAAGCACUUUGGAAAGAUUCUUCGGAUGAUUUCCUUUGUGACUGAGCGGCGGACGGGUGAGUAACGCGUGGGUAACCUGCCUCAUACAGGGGGAUAACAGUUAGAAAUGACUGCUAAUACCGCAUAAGACCACGGUACCGCAUGGUACAGUGAUAAAAACUCCGGUGGUAUGAGAUGGACCCGCGUCUGAUUAGGUAGUUGGUGGGGUAACGGCCUACCAAGCCGACGAUCAGUAGCCGACCUGAGAGGGUGACCGGCCACAUUGGGACUGAGACACGGCCCAGACUCCUACGGGAGGCAGCAGUGGGGAAUAUUGCACAAUGGAGGAAACUCUGAUGCAGCGACGCCGCGUGAAGGAUGAAGUAUUUCGGUAUGUAAACUUCUAUCAGCAGGGAAGAAAAUGACG